UCGAGUUGCUUGGCACGAGAAAGUUUUAAGGCCCCAUUUUAUAGCAUUUUAGGAGUCAAAUUCCUCAAGGAGAUUAGGCCCCUAAUUGAGAUUGACUAUUUUCCAUCCUUCCAGCAUGGCCAGGCCGUCGUCGAGUCAGCCAUCCCUACAGACCUUGAAAAGGAGCCCCUUAUCCGAGAUAAUCUGUCUCGGAAAAGGCCUCCAGUAGACCGGGGUUACUAACUGAACAACCAUUAGUGUCGAGUUUUUAUUACUCCAGCCAAAGGCUAGGUCUUUUGAUGGUCAUCGGCCUUGAUCGACUGUUCAUAGUACAAUUCAUAAUGGAGUCCCUUGCAGACCAAGCCCAGUAGUCUUUUCAAGUUUGGGCCCAAAAGAUGAUUGAGGAGUUUGUGCGACCCCCUUGCUCUUGUGAAGAGAUGAGGGGCACCAUAUUGAGGGAAGAGUGGGGAGGUGGGUGGGUGGGCGGGGACAGGUGGUGUCUGAUUUACAACGUGGCCGAAAUUUUAGACCUAGCCCUGAGCUGUGAUAGCUCUCUUUCUUUAGCUAGGGAUUGUGCUGUAGUAUUUCAUUCUCUCAAAGUGUGCUGGAGUACCACAUGUAGAGGGAUGAUGAUGUCAAGGAUUUGUUAAAAGGCAGCCUCGAGUUGCUUGGCACGAGAAAGUUUUUAGGCCCAUUUAAUAACAUUCUAGGAGUCAAAUUCCUCAAGGAGAUUGGGCCCCUAAUUGAGAUAGACUAUUUUCCAUCCUUCCAGCAUGGCCAGGCCGUCGUCGAGUCAGCCAUCCUUGCAGACCUUGAAAAGGAGCCUUUUAUCCGAGAUGAGCUGUCUCGGAAAAGGCCUCCAGUAGACCGGGGUUACCAACUGAACAACCAUCAGUGUCGAGUUUUUAUUACUCCAGCCAAAGGCUAGGUCUUUUGAUGAUCAUCGGCCUUGAUCGACUGAUCAUAGUACAAUUCAUAGGGGAGUCCCUUGCAGACCAAGCCAAGUAGUCUUUUCUAGUUUGGGCCCAAAAGAUGACUGAGGAGUUUGUGCGACCCCCUUGCUCUUGUGAAGAGAUGAGGGGCACCAUAUUGGG
rnacentral:lncRNA from 1 species